ACGUACCUUGCACGUGAAUGCUGGUCGGCACGUGCCAUUCUUCACCACUCGUCCCUUUCCGCAGCCAAGUCUAUUCGGUUGCUCCGAAAAGACACGAGUUGAACACGCCGAUGUGAGUGAGAACGAGCAUGUGCGUUAUUCAUGUGGCCAUUUUUCACACCUCGAGGUAAUCCUCGGAGUUGAGGAAGUCGUGGUAUUGCAAGGCGAAGAUAUACUAGUAGCUGACCUGGAAGUUCCGGUUUACCUUAGAAGUGUUUGUGAACCCGUGAUAGCAGCCGCUAAGGUUUGGAGGAGAGCGAUCAAGGGGACGGUACUAGGAAUUCCGUUUGUCUUUCCGCCACAGAGAAGGUGGCUUCAGAAGUGAGUGAUGUUCGUCCGGACAAAAACUAGAAAAGGUUUCGCAGAUCCUUUGGCACCACUGACAGACGAGUCUUGAGAAAUCUGUCCAAUUCUCAUCCCCGCUGAAACCACAUACAAUAAAUUCUUGCCUCAA